rnacentral:rRNA from 1 species
AUUGAACGCUGGCGGCAGGCCUAACACAUGCAAGUCGAACGGUAACAGGAAGCAGCUUGCUGCUUUGCUGACGAGUGGCGGACGGGUGAGUAAUGUCUGGGAAACUGCCUGAUGGAGGGGGAUAACUACUGGAAACGGUAGCUAAUACCGCAUAACGUCGCAAGACCAAAGAGGGGGACCUUCGGGCCUCUUGCCAUCGGAUGUGCCCAGAUGGGAUUAGCUAGUAGGUGGGGUAACGGCUCACCUAGGCGACGAUCCCUAGCUGGUCUGAGAGGAUGACCAGCCACACUGGAACUGAGACACGGUCCAGACUCCUACGGGAGGCAGCAGUGGGGAAUAUUGCACAAUGGGCGCAAGCCUGAUGCAGCCAUGCCGCGUGUAUGAAGAAGGCCUUCGGGUUGUAAAGUACUUUUCAGCGGGGAGGAAGGCGAUAAGGUUAAUAACCUUGUCGAUUGACGUUACCCGCAGAAGAAGCACCGCUAAC